rnacentral:sRNA from 1 species
GCCGGGCGCGGUGGCCACGCCCGUAAUCCCAGCAGCUCAGGAGGCUGAGGCAGGAGGAUUGAGAGUCCGAUGCCAGCCUCAGCAGAUUAGCGACACCCUGAGCGACUCAGCGAGACCCUGUCUCUA